AGAGUUUGAUCAUGGCUCAGAUUGAACGCUGGCGGCAGGCUUAACACAUGCAAGUCGAACGGUAACAGAACUAGCUUGCUAGUUGCUGACGAGUGGCGGACGGGUGAGUAACGCGUAGGAAUCUACCGAAUAGUGGGGGACAACAGUUGGAAACGGCUGCUAAUACCGCAUACGCCCUACGGGGGAAAGGAGGGGAUCUUCGGACCUUUCGCUAUUUGAUGAGCCUGCGUGAGAUUAGUUAGUUGGUGGGGUAAUGGCUCACCAAGGCGACGAUCUCUAGCUGGUCUGAGAGGAUGAUCAGCCACACUGGGACUGAGACACGGCCCAGACUCCUACGGNAGNCANCAGUGGGGAAUAUUGCACAAUGGGGGAAACCCUGAUGCAGCCAUGCCGCGUGUGUGAAGAAGGCCUUCGGGUUGUAAAGCACUUUCAGU
rnacentral:rRNA from 1 species